rnacentral:rRNA from 1 species
UACGGGGGGAGCAAGCGUUGUUCGGAAUUACUGGGCGUAAAGCGCACGUAGGCGGAUCAGCAAGUUAGGGGUGAAAUCCCGGGGCUCAACCCCGGAACUGCCUUUAAAACUGUUGGUCUGGAGGUCGAGAGAGGUGAGUGGAAUUCCCAGUGUAGCGGUGAAAUGCGUAGAUAUUGGGAGGAACACCAGUGGCGAAGGCGGCUCACUGGACCGGAACUGACGCUGAGGCGCGAAAGCGUGGGGAGCAAACAGG